rnacentral:rRNA from 1 species
UACGGAGGAUCCAAGCGUUAUCCGGAUUUAUUGGGCGUAAAGAGCGUGUAGGCGGCCAGGUAGGUCUGGUGUGAAAACUCGAGGCUUAACCUCGAGAUGUCAUCGGAAACCAUCUGGCUAGAGUCCGGAAGAGGAGAGUGGAAUUCCUGGUGUAGCGGUGAAAUGCGCAGAUAUCAGGAAGAACACCAAUGGCGAAAGCAGCUCUCUGGGACGGUACUGACGCUGAGACGCGAAAGCGUGGGGAGCGAACAGG